rnacentral:rRNA from 1 species
CGCAUCUGUGCAUGCAGCAUAUCAAUAAGCGGAGGAAAAGUAAAUGCUGUAUACCUACGCUUAGGAUGUUGAAGAUGUAGCACAUCAUACACGCAUGACACACUGCAUAUCAAUAAGCGGAGGAAAAGAAACUAACAAGGAUUCCCCUAGUAACGGCGAGUGAAGCGGGAAGAGCUCAAAUUUGAAAUCUUAAAGGGUUUCCCUUUACGAAUUGUAGUUUAAAGAAGUGUUUUCUGUUGAGGUUUUGGUAAAAGUUCUUUGGAAUAGGACAUCAUAGAGGGUGAGAAUCCCGUAUUUGACCUUUACUUUCAACUUUGUGAUACACUUUCAAAGAGUCGGAUUGUUUGGGAAUGCAGUCCAAAAUGGGUGGUAAAUUUCAUCUAAAGCUAAAUAUUGGCGAGAGACCGAUAGCGAACAAGUACCGUGAGGGAAAGAUGAAAAGAACUUUGAAAAGAGAGUUAAACAGUACGUGAAAUUGUCAAAAGGGAAGCGUUUGACACCAGUGUUGUUUUUCUGAAAAUCAAUUAAAGAACUGUUUAUGCUAAGUUGUUUAGACUUUAUCAGCUAACUGUUUAGUUUUGAGCUUUUCUUUAAUGCACUUUUCAGUUAACAAGUCAACAUCAAUUUCUUUUGCUGUAAAAAAGCUUGAGGAAGGUGGCUUGAGAUUCGUCUUAAGUGUUUAUAGCCUCUUGCCUAUGCAGUCGGAGAGAUUGAGGUCUGCAGCGUAGAUCCUUCGGGGCUAAAUGCAUUUGUGCUAAGUUAUAGCAUUUUAUAGACAACUUGUUGACUAUGAUUUGUCUUGUAGCUUACUCGCUUAUGUUAUUUUACCUACGCUUAGGAUGUUGAAGAUGUAGCACAUCAU